rnacentral:rRNA from 1 species
GCAAGAUUAAAACUCAAAGGAAUAGACGGGGACCCGCACAAGCGGUGGAGCAUGUGGUUUAAUUCGACGAUACGCGAAGAACCUUACCUGGCCUUGACAUAGACAGAAGUUUGCAGAGACGCAGAUGUGCUAGUUUACUAGAGCUGUCAUACAGGUGCUGCACGGCUGUCGUCAGCUCGUGUCGUGAGAUGUUGGGUUAAGUCCCGCAACGAGCGCAACCCUCGUGUUUAGUUACUAACAGUUCGGCUGAGGACUCUAAACAGACUGCCUGGGUAACCAGGAGGAAGGUGAGGACGACGUCAAGUCAUCAUGGCCCUUACGGCCAGGGCUACACACGUGCUACAAUGGGGUAUACAAAGAGCUGCAAUACGGUGACGUGGAGCAAAUCUCAUAAAAUAUCUCCCAGUUCGGAUUGAAGUCUGCAACUCGACUUCAUGAAGUUGGAAUCGCUAGUAAUCGUAGAUCAGCAAUGCUACGGUGAAUACGUUCCCGGGUCUUGUACUCACCGCCCGUCACACCAUGGGAAUUGAAUUCAUUCGAAGCGGGGAUGCUAAGAUAGCUACCUUCCACAGUGGAUUUAGUAACUAGGGUGAAGUCGUAACAAGGUA